rnacentral:rRNA from 1 species
GCCUACGGCCAUACCACCAUGAAAGCGCCCGAUCUCGUCUGAUCUCGGAAGCUAAGCAGGGACGGGCUUGGUUAGUACCUGGAUGAGAGACCGCCUGGGAAUACCAGGUGUUGUAGGCU